AGUGACAGCUCUGGACAGUGACAUCACCCUUAGAUGAUCUUUCCCUCCGUAUGAAAACCUGAACCUCAACAACGUGAUUGUCAACUGGCAGUGUGGAGAGUCAGAGGUGGUCCACAGCUAUUACAUGGGAGACAUCAGCUGGAAAGACAGAGUGUUGUUUACAAGGGACGAACUCAUCUGUUUGAAGACCAGCUCACUGUGGGAAAGGCGUCACUUAGACUGAGUGGUGUGCAGCUGAGUGACCAGGGCCCAUGCACCUGUGAUGUGACAGAUGAACAGGGAAGCACCCAGGAAAAGCUACAACUUUUAGUGGCAGCCCCCUUCAAGGAGCCCCAGCUCUCUGUACAGUCAUCCUGUGACAGCUUCAUCAUCACCCUCCACUCCUCUCAGGGUUUCUCCCAGCCUGAUGUGUGUUGGACGGACUCCAUUGGUGGAGACAUCUUCAAUCAGAGCCACAGCCAUAUCGGCCUGGACAGCAGGGGGCGCUAUGAUGUCCACAGCUCCAUGGAGAAUGCUGUGAGGUGCCUCUUGUAACCAGGGGCAGACGGGCUUUGGUGUUAUUAGAUAUAGUUCAGCAAUGCCACUCAUUUUGUACUUCAGACGCAAGCCUGAAGCACACCGACACCAGAUGGUCCCACAUGACGAUACAACAGGACAAGACGAGGCUCAUGAAACAGAAAUUUGAUAAAAACUAGUUACAAAAGUCUAAGCUUACAGGACUGUGUUUCAAUGUCACAAAUAUAGGUGUGUGUGUGUGUUGUUGCCUUAUUAAAUAUUUCCAAUCCCUCUUGGUAAAGUAUUAUAGAGUACUGCUGGAAGGAAACUUUGCUACUCUCUGCAACCCUACGUAAUCCAGCCUACUUAGAUUUUUUGGGGAUGUAAAGCUGUCAAGGCAAAGGGCGGCUACUUUGAAGAAUCUAAAAUAUAUAAAUAUAUUUUGAUU